rnacentral:rRNA from 1 species
UAUGUGAUCGUCUCUCGCAUAUCAAUAAGCGGAGGAAAAGAAACUAACAAGGAUUCCCCUAGUAACGGCGAGUGAAGCGGGAAGAGCUCAAAUUUGAAAUCUUAAAGGGUUUCCCUUUACGAAUUGUAGUUUAAAGAAGUGUUCUCUGUUGAGGUUUUGGUAAAAGUUCUUUGGAAUAGGACAUCAUAGAGGGUGAGAAUCCCGUAUUUGACCUUUACUUUCAACUUUGUGAUAUACUUUCAAAGAGUCGGAUUGUUUGGGAAUGCAGUCCAAAAUGGGUGGUAAAUUUCAUCUAAAGCUAAAUAUUGGCGAGAGACCGAUAGCGAACAAGUACCGUGAGGGAAAGAUGAAAAGAACUUUGAAAAGAGAGUUAAACAGUACGUGAAAUUGUCAAAAGGGAAGCGUUUGACACCAGUGUUGUUUUUCUGAAAAUCAAUUAAAGAACUGUUUAUGCUAAGCUGUUUAGACUUUAUCAGCUAUCUGUUUAGUUUUGAGCUUUUCUUUAAUGCACUUUUCAGUUAACAAGUCAACAUCAAUUUCUUUUGCUGUAAAAAAGCUUGAGGAAGGUGGCUUGAGAUUCGUCUUAAGUGUUUAUAGCCUCUUGCCUAUGCAGUCGGAGAGAUUGAGGUCUGCAGCGUAGAUCCUUCGGGGCUAAAUGCAUUUGUGCUAAGUUAUAGCAUUUUAUAGACAACUUGUUGACUAUGAUUUGUCUUGUAGCUUACUCGCUUAUGUUAUUUUACCUACGCUUAGGAUGUUGAGCGCAUGUCUCUCUCU